AUUGAACGCUGGCGGCGUGCUUAACACAUGCAAGUCGAACGAAGUGGCGAACGGGUGAGUAACGCGUAAUCAACCUGCCCUUCAGAGGGGGACAACAGUUGGAAACGACUGCUAAUACCGCAUACUGAAGGAGGGGUUUGCGUCUGAUUAGCGAGUUGGAGAGGUAACAGCGCACCAAGGCGAUGAUAGGUAGCCGGCCUGAGAGGGUGAACGGCCACAAGGGGACUGAGACACGGCCCUUACGCCUACGGGAGGCCGCAGUGGGGAAUAUUGAACAAUGGCCGAGAGUCUGAUCAAGCAAUUCUGGGUGCACGAUGAAGUUUUUCGGAAUGUAAAGUGCUUUCAGUUGGGAAGCGGUACCAACAGAAGAAGUGACGGCUAAAUACGUGCCAGCAGCCGCGGUAAUAC
rnacentral:rRNA from 1 species